rnacentral:tRNA from 1 species
GGCGGUAUAGCCAAGUGGUAAGGCAGAGGAUUGCAAAUUCUUUAUCCCCAGUUCGAAUCCGGGUACCGCCU